AUGGAUCCGGUUACUGCAUCCAUCCACGGUCACCAUCUUCCUCCACCCUUCAACACCCGUGAUUUCCAUCACCAUCUCCAGCAGCAGCAGCUGCAUCUCAAGUCGGAGGACGACCAUGGCGGCGGCUCUCCGUUCGGAGGCCACGGCACCAAGCACGGCCACGAGGAUGACGAGAACAGUGGCAACGGCAACGGCAGCGGCGGUGAGCUUGCUCUGAUUUCCCCUUCAGGUGGCGGACUGCAGGAUGGAGGCGAGAACGGAUCGCGCCGACCGAGGGGCCGCCCGGCCGGGUCCAAGAACAAGCCGAAGCCUCCAAUCAUCAUUACGCGGGACAGCGCUAACACGCUCCGGACGCACGUCAUGGAGGUCGCGGGCGGGUGCGACAUCUCCGAGAGCAUCACGGCGUUCGCCCGCCGCCGGCAACGCGGGGUCUGCGUGCUGAGCGGCGCGGGCACCGUGACCAACGUCACGCUGCGGCAGCCUGCCUCGCAGGGCGCGGUUGUCGCCCUCCACGGCCGGUUCGAGAUACUCUCACUGUCUGGCUCCUUCCUACCCCCUCCAGCACCACCGGAAGCCACGGGGCUCACCGUCUACCUUGCCGGCGGGAAGGGGCAGGUGGUGGGCGGCACCGUUGUCGGCUCGCUGACAGCCGCGGGGCCGGUGGUGAUAAUGUCAGCUUCCUUCGCGAACGCUGUCUACGAGCGAUUGCCGUUGGAGGAAGACGAGUUGCUUGCAGCGCAAGGGCAGGCAGACAGCACCGGGAUGCUGGCUGCGGGGCAGCAAGCAUCUCAGAUGGCCGGCGGAGACGUGGAUCCAAGCCUCUUCGAAGGGCUGCCACCGAACCUCCUCGGCAACGUGCAGCUCCCGCCUGAAGCCGCCGGCUACAGAUGGAACCCAGGCACAGCCGGUGGCCGCCCGUCACCGUUCUAA
rnacentral:rRNA from 1 species